AGCAGCCGCGGUAAUUCCAGCUCCAAUAGCGUAUAUUAAAGUUGUUGCAGUUAAAAAGCUCGUAGUUGAAUUUCGGGAUCAGUACGCUGGUCAUACCUUCGGUACGUACUGGUGUCACUGAUUCCUCCCUUCUGAAGAACCGUCAUGCCAUUCAGUUGGUGUGGCAGGGAAUCAGGACUGUUACUUUGAAAAAUUAGAGUGUUUAAAGCAGGCUCGCGCUUGAAUACAUUAGCAUGGAAUAAUGAAAUAGGUCGCUUGAUCCUAUUUUGUUGGUUUCUAGGAUCGAUGUAAUGAUUAAUAGGAUAGUGGGGCAGUUAGUAUUCAAUUGU
rnacentral:rRNA from 1 species